rnacentral:snRNA from 14 species
UGACUCUGGUGGGGGCCAACCCAGUGAACUAUGUGGUAAAUCUCAAGCCUUUGCCUUUGGAGCAAGGUAAUUUUUCCAGGGUGAGGCCUGUCCUUUGCAUCCAGGCAGGCUGACCCCUGAGAGUUUCCCUAAAUGCAGGAAACUUGACUGCAUAAUUUUGUGGCAAUGGGAGACUGCUUUUUUGCUUUUCCCCC